GACGAACGCUGGCGGCGGGCUUAACACAUGCAAGUCGAACGGAAAGGCCCUGCUUUUGUGGGGUGCUCGAGUGGCGAACGGGUGAGUAACACGUGAGUAACCUGCCCUUGACUGUGGGAUAACUUCAGGAAACUGGGGCUAAUACCGGAUAGGAGCUCCUGCUGCAUGGGGGGGGUUGGAAAGUUUCGGCGGUUGGGGAUGGACUCGCGGCUUAUCAGCUUGUUGGUGGGGUAGUGGCUUACCAAGGCUUUGACGGGUAGCCGGCCUGAGAGGGUGACCGGCCACAUUGGGACUGAGAUACGGCGCAGACUCGUACGGGAGGCAGCAGUGGGGAAUAUUGCACAAUGGGCGGAAGUCUGAUGCAGCAACGCCGCGUGCGGGAUGACGGCCUUCGGGUUGUAAACCGCUUUCGCCUGUGACGAAGCGUGAGUGACGGUAAUGGGUAAAGAAGCACCGGCUAACUACGUG
rnacentral:rRNA from 1 species